UUUCGCUGAUGUGAGUAGAAUUAUUUGCAUAUAUCCCAGAUUAGGUGCGUGCGAAAAUGCUUACAUGAGUAUUUUCUUUUCUGGUUAUUAUAGACAAACUCUGCAUAUGAGUAAAGCUCACCGAAUAAACAAGGCUUAAGAUGUUUUACAUUUAUUUCAUACUUUUAUUUCUAUUGCCACAUUAAUUCUGCACGGGAUUCUGUAUAAAAUGCACAAACUUAAUGGACACACGAAUGUAUUUUUAUCUAUUUGUGGCUAAAACAAUUGUUGGUUGGCAGUUAGCAUGCAUACAUCACUUUGUUGCGCUAAAUAUAAAUAUGACGUGUCCCCGCUUUCCCAAGCAUCCUCUCAUUUGAUUAAUAUUUCAUCUCGGAAAUGACUGUUAAAACUUACGGAGACUAUCGCUGUUUUGCAAAUUAUUUCUGGAGCGACCCGGAGAAUGGCUGUGUCGAUUAUCCCGACGAGGACGUGCAGGACAUCUUCCCUUACCAAUAUGAGACAGAUGCAACGGAUUCUUACGAUUCCGAUGAGUUAAAUGGAAAGAAUGUUGAACCUGAACAACAUCGCCUCGGAAACACGGAAUGGUAGGGCGCUCUUAGACUGUAAAUUUAUAAAAUAAAUUAUGGGAAAUACGAAAUUGAUCAAUCAACUGUACAUCAUUCUUAAUUACAUCAAUGAUGAAUUACAGAUGUCAAAUUGUCAUAUUACGCCGGGGUGGUAUGGUAUAGACCCUUAAUUAUAUUAUUACAGACAAAAUUACUGGUUUCGAUGGUGUAUAUUGGUGUAGUUAAUUACUUCAAUGAUAAAGUGCCGAAAUACAUUCUGUCCUCUUGUUCGAUACCUCCUCUAUAAUAGUACAUAACACUUCUAUAAGAUUUCUGUUUUAAAUUAUCAUGUAAUAGAGAAUUAUCUUUUUUUCUAUUAUUAAGUUUAACAUUUCAUUUGAUUUCUUUAUUCUUUCACAAAUUUACAUGGUUUACAAAUCAUAUUAUGUGUCAAUGUGGAUUUUGUACCAAUAUGCCAACUGCCAAGGAGAGUGUAUGCUGCACCGAAUUACCAGGGGUUGAUGCGAAGAAGGAGUCAUUCAACAAGGAACUGGCCUGUAUUGCUGAACACCCCGACUUUUCACCAGUGUGUUCAGACGUGUAUGUGCUCGAGACAGGACACUACCAAUACCGAUCCCAGUGUGGAGAAAUGAGGGCAACAAUUGAAGAGCACGUCAUUUUUAUUAUCCAUUCAAUCAAAUAAUAUGAUAAUUCACAUAGUCAUUGGGUCAGAUUGCAAGUUUAUCAUUAGUGAAUAAUUACAAACAUUUCCUGGAAUUACAGGCGGAACAGAUACAGAGCAUGCAGACAAUUUGUUUGAUGGUGCUUGGGAUACCUAGGACACAAGGUGCGAGUCCCUCUACCGUCAUGUGUUGCGAUAAAGUUACGGAAUUCCUUUGUCUCUGAGGAGUAUCAAGGAUUCCAUGCACCUGAGUGAUGAUGUCCGUUCCGCCUGAACAUCGAUCUGAAAUGUAGCACCACUUCUUCUUUAUAAGGAUGGCAAAAGUUACUGCACAGUGGAGGCGGUUAAACUGGCAACAAGCAUAGUAAUGGAUCGGAUGACACCUGGAAGGUCAAACACGUCUUCUUUAUCAGGACUGAUGCAUAGUCUGGAAUAAAUGGACAAUAUUUGAAAUGUUUUGUGUGCUUUAUAUCCUAACAAAUAAAUUGUUCUCUAGUAAAUAUAUUGUUGUUUCAAUCCUACAAUUUUAUUGUGGUAUGAAUUAUGAUAGUGGGUUAUCUUUAGAAGUACAUUCUUACUAAAUGUAGGAUUGAUAAUGUAUUUAUAUACACAUUGACAUAGGUUGUAUGGGUAUAUAAGCGUAUUUAAGUACAUAUUGAGAAUAACUAUGUGGAUAUGUAGAUGUAUUUAUGUACACCUGAAAAUGUUUACGUGGGAGUGUAAUAAUAUUUAAUAGGUACUUGUAUUUCCUAAAGGGCAGGGGUGUUUCUUAUCACCGUGUCAGUAUUUCAAGCAUAAUUUCUAUAAUAGCUCACGAUAAUUUUGCAAAUGAAUUGUCUCAUCAAGGAUUUAGAACAUCAGGUAAAUGGUUUUUAUUUAAUUGAGAAUUCAUUCCUUAUCAUCUAGCUUGCAAAGCAGGGAGCUACGGUACCAACUGCGAAAAGAAUUGUCCACCCGGUCGUUAUGGAAAAUUCUGUGCAUUGGAAUGCGCUUGUCGAACGAGUUAUUACUGUGAUAAGGCGAAGGGUUGCAUAUCUAGAGAAAGACCAUUUAAACCCACAGCUUCUCUGCCACUAUCAUCAUCAGCAACGUCAGCUAAUUCAUAUUUGUUUUCGGAGGGUUGGACAUCUGAUGCUUCAACUUCAACGAAAUCAAAGAUAGGGUCUACAAGACCAGUAGUAUCAUCAACAACUACCCUGGGGUCUUCAACAACAUCUAGCGAAAUUAUCAAUGCAGAAACCAAUAAUGAUAUCACUAUUUUUUUCAUGGGGGGAAUUAUUGGAAUCCUCAUAAUCAUUAUAUUUGUGAUAAUUUCAAGAAAACUUUGCGUCCUACACACAAAUAGGAAAUACCAGAAAAAUUUAGAGGAAACAAAACAUUUUACGGAAGGAAGACGGUCCGACGAGUACCAGGAAAUAAACAUAAAUGACAUUGUAGAUCAGGCAGAAGUAUCUGCAAAUUGGUACAAUAUCAUAACCGAGGAAACUGCACAAUCUCAGGGUUCCAAUUAUCAAGAGAUUGUGUCUGAAUUAAACAAGGAAGUAAAGUCGACCUACUUUCAUCACGAAUUCGACAAUAGUACCUCAUCAGGAAAUAAUGGAGGAUAUAUAGAACCAGAAUCACGAAGACCGACUCACUCUUAUAUAGAGGUUAUAGAGCCUAUGAUACAUGCGUCCGAUCCUGCAAAUAGUGACCAGGACGGGGGUAGCUCAGAUAAAUCUGACCACUUAGAGGAGUAUCAAGAUACUAUGAAUAUAGAGAAAAGUGAUCAAUCAUGUUCAAAUGAGGCAAAGGGGUCAAAUCUCCAUGAAUUUAACUUAAAUGAUACGUAUCUCGAUGUUGUGCAUAAUUUAUCCUAAAAAAGGUAUAUUUUUAAUAAAAAGUUUGCAGACCUCUUAA